CUUAAGAGGAAACAUCAAAAUGGAAAAUGAAAUUCCUGCUGUACAAAGUUUGUCUUGACUAACUAGUCAAUCCUACUGUGCUAUGUUAUCAUUUAGAGGAGUUCUUGCUGUGUGGAUUAGCUACAGUCUGUUCAAGUGAGAAGUUGUAUGUAAGAACACAUCUUGCUUGCAGGGAAUUGUGAGGCCACCCAUUGGAUGACAGUAUCCAAACUCUUCUUCAGCUUGGCUUAACAAUUCUUGAAAUGAAGGUUGGUUCAAGAAUGAAACUGGAAUCAAGAACCUCUUCAUUUCCUCUCCAACAUACACCGCAAGAUAGCCUUUUGUGACUUCUACUUCCUUGUUUGAUGUUUGACUUGUACUAAAUGAUGAUCGUCUAAUACCAGGAAUGGUUUGUGUUGCUUGUUUAAUGGAAAAUAUAUAUAUAGAUGGUGGAAACCAUUAUCUACCUAAUUCGAUGGUGAAUGAGUUAUGUUUUGAUUGGGUGUAGUAAGAAACAUGACUCAUUAAUGAUCAAAUGGCACUGUUUUGAAGGAUUUCGUUAAGGAUUACACAGAAUGUGAGAUUGCACGUCCUUCAUUUUGGAAGAUAAGCCUUUGAAAGUGACCUGUGUUUCCCUAAUUCACGUGUUGUGUAGACAGCUCUAAACAUAUCACUUAUUUUGUUCUUGUUUUAAUAAGACAUGUGUUGAUAUUAGUACAAUUGAAAUCCAAUCAAUAAACCAUGAAAUCUUCUUCGAAA